rnacentral:rRNA from 1 species
GACGAACGCUGGCGGCGUGCUUAACACAUGCAAGUCGAACGGUGAAAGCGGAGCUUGCUCCGCUGGAUCAGUGGUGAACGGGUGAGUAACACGUGGGCAACCUGCCCCUCACUUCGGGAUAACUCCGGGAAACCGGGGCUAAUACCGGAUAUGACCUCCUUGGGCAUCCUUGGAGGUGGAAAGUUUUUCGGUGAGGGAUGGGCCCGCGGCCUAUCAGCUUGUUGGUGAGGUAGUGGCUCACCAAGGCGACGACGGGUAGCCGGCCUGAGAGGGCGACCGGCCACACUGGGACUGGGACCCGGCCCAGACUCCUACGGGAGGCAGCAGUGGGGAAUAUUGCGCAAUGGGCGAAAGCCUGACGCAGCAACGCCGCGUGCGGGAUGACGGCCUUCGGGUUGUAAACCGCUUUCAGCAGGGAAGAAGCCGCAAGGUGACGGUACCUGCAGAAGAAGCACCGGCUAACUACGUGCCAGCAGCCGCCGUAA